rnacentral:rRNA from 1 species
GACGUAGGGUGCAAGCGUUGUCCGGAUUUAUUGGGCGUAAAGAGUUCGUAGGCGGUUGCCUAAGUCUGAUGUUAAAUCCCGGAGCUCAACUUCGGUAUGGCAUUGGAAACUGGGUGGCUUGAGUAUGGUAGAGGUUACGGGAAUUCCUGGUGUAGCGGUGAAAUGCGUAGAUAUCGGGAGGAACACCGAGUGGCGAAGGCGGUUGCCUGGGGCUUUGCUGACGCUGAGGCGCGAAAGCGUGGGGAGCGAGUCCGG